GUUUUACCCUACUGACAAAGUAGAUACUGCGACAGUAGUCGAAGUUAGUACGAGAGGAACACUUCGUCCAGAUACUUGGUUAAUGCCGUUGUCUGAAAAGACAGUACGGCGAAGCUACCAUCUGCUGGAUUACGGCUGAACGCCUCUAAGCCGGAAUCCAUGCUGGAUAAGCAGUGUUGUACACCGUGCUCAAUGCUACAAGAAAAAGGCUAGGUCAGGCUUCGGCCUGACCAAAAUUCAAGCUGCUAUACCUCUGGCUGCAUUGACUUGUGGUCAGAGUGUAUGGUGAUCAUAGCAAUUGCAAGUAUUGGGCUCGAUAAAUCCUUUGAAGACGACUUAAUUGCAUCCGGGUAUUGUAAGUGUUGAGAGUAGGCUUAGUCUUACGAUCCACUGAGAUUCAUCCCGUGUUGCGCCGAUUUGU
rfam:Perkinsus marinus ATCC 50983 gcontig_1104296658116, whole genome shotgun sequence.